AUGCUCUGACUGCUUAUUGCACCACAUGUGUUUUUCUUUGAAACAAACUUGCUUUGGCGGUGGGCCCAGCCUGCCGCCAGAGGUCUAAACUUACAACCAAUUUUUUAUCAACUUGUCACACCAGAUUAUUACUUAAUAGUCAAAACUUUCAACAACGGAUCUCUUGGUUCUCGCAUCGAUGAAGAACGCAGCGAAAUGCGAUACGUAAUAUGAAUUGCAGAUAUUCGUGAAUCAUCGAAUCUUUGAACGCACAUUGCGCCCUCUGGUAUUCCGGAGGGCAUGCCUGUUUGAGCGUCGUUUCUCCCUCAAACCGCUGGGUUUGGUGUUGAGCAAUACGACUUGGGUUUGCUUGAAAGACGGUAGUGGUAAGGCGGGAUCGCUUUGACAAUGGCUUAGGUCUAACCAAAAACAUUGCUUGCGGCGGUAACGUCCACCACGUAUAUCUUCAAACUUUGACCUCAAAUCAGGUAGGACUACCCGCUGAACUUAAGCAUAUCAAAAGCGGGGAGGAA
rnacentral:rRNA from 1 species